AAUGAACGUUGGCGGCGUGGAUUAGGCAUGCAAGUCGAGCGCGAACCGUAGCAAUACGGGGAGAGCGGCGAAAGGGAGAGUAAUACGUGGAUACCUGCCCUCGGGUUCGGGAUAGCUACGGGAAACUGUAGGUAAUACCGAAUAACAUCUUCGGAUCAAAGGUGUGAUUCCGCCCGGGGAGGGGUCCGCGUCCUAUUAGCUAGUUGGUGAGGUAACGGCCCACCAAGGCGAAGAUGGGUAUGGGGUGUGAGAGCAUGACCCCACUCACUGGGACUGAGACACUGCCCAGACACCUACGGGUGGCUGCAGUCGAGAUUCUUCGGCAAUGGGGGAAACCCUGACCGAGCGACGCCGCGUGCGAGAUGAAGGCCUUCGGGUUGUAAAUCGCUGUCAGGGGGGAGGAAAUGCCGGGAAGUAAUUCAUAAUCAACUCGGUUUGACCUAGCCUCAGAGGAAGGACGGGCUAAGUUCGUGCCAGCCGCCGCGGUAA
rnacentral:rRNA from 1 species